rnacentral:lncRNA from 1 species
UAUAAAACGGCCCCACCCCAUCUCCCUUCACUGACUCUCUUUUCGGAUCAGCCUGCCUGCACCAAGGUGAAAUAAACAGCCUUGUUGCUCACACAAAGCCUGUUUGGUGGUCUCUUCACACGGACGUGAGUGAAAUUUGGUGCUGUGACUCGGAUCAGGGGACCUCCCUCGGGAGAUCAAUCCUCUGUCCUCCUGCUCUUUACUCCAUGAGAGAGAUCCACCUACGACCUCGGGUCCUCAGACCAACCAGCCCAAGGAACAUCUCACCAAUUUUAAAUCGGGUAUACAUCCAGAUGGCCUGAAGUAACUGAAGAAUCACAAAAGAAGUGAGAAUGGCCUGUUCCUGCCUUAACUGAUGACACUGCCUUGUGAAAUUCCUUCUGGCUCAAAAUCUCCCCCAUUGAGCACCUUAUGACCCCCACCCCUACCAGCCAGAGAACAACCCCCUUUGACUGUAAUUUUCCAUUACCUACCCAAAUCCUAUAAAAUGGCCCCACCCCUAUCUCCCUUCACUGACUCUCUUUUCGGACUCAGCCCACCUGCACCCAGGUGAAAUAAACAGCCUUGUUGCUCACACAAAGCCUGUUUUGUGGUCUCUUCACAUGGACAUGAGUGAAACUCCACAGCAGGCCCUGUGGCAUACUGGAAAGAGCCCUGGUUGGGGCCGGAAGAUCUCAGUUUAUGUCCCAGCUCUGUUCCCCACUUAUUGAACUGGUCCCCUCUGAACCUCAGUUUCCUCCUCUGUAAACCAGAGAUAAUGAUACUCACCUUCUAGGCACAUGUCACCUUUGCUCCAGUACCCAACAAGUUCCUCAUCUCCAUCUAAGACCACCUCAGCCUGGAUUUCUUGUCCAUAUCAUUAUCAGCAUUUUGGUUAAGGCCAUUCAACAAGUCUCUAGGAAGUUUCAAACUUUCCCACAUUUUCCUGUCUUCUUCUGAGCUCUCCAAACUACUCCAACCUCUGCCUGUUACCCAGUUCCAAAGUUGCUUCCACAUUUUCAGGUAUCUUUUCAGCAGCACUCCACUCUACUAGUACCAAAAUCUGUAUUAGUUCGUUUUCAUGGUGCUGAUUAAGACAUACCCAAGACUGAGCAAUUUAUAAAAGAAAGAGGUUUAAUUGGACUUACAGGUCUGUGUGGCUGGGGAAUCUUCACAAUCAUGGCAGAAGGCAAGGAGGAACAAGUCACAUCCUAAGUGGGUGGCGGCAGGCAAAAAAUGAGAGAGCUUGUGCAGGGGAAUGCCUCUUUUUAAAACCAUCAGAUCUUGUGAGACUUAUUCACUAUCAUGAGAACAGCAUGGGAAAGACUUGGCCCCCAUGAGUCAACUACCUUCCACCAAGUCCCUCCCAUAACAUGUGGGAAUUCAAGAUGAUAUUUGGGUGGAGACACAGCCAAACCAUAUCAAAUUGGAACAGUAACAGCAGAGGUUUGUUAUAGGAAUUAAUUUAGAGAAUAGUCAUAAAGAAAAAGAAUAGCACUUGGACUCUAGUAAUCUCCCCCAAAAUCAUGGUGAUUUUUAUUUAUCACCUCUUCGGUCUGAGCCCCAAAGCUUCUUGCCUGCAACCUCUUUAUAUACCUUACACCUGUCAGUUUAUGAGCUCUGGGCAGGGACAUGAAGAGUGAUUUACCUGAUGAAGUUGCCCAUUGCUCUGAGCACGUGAGACAGGAACCACUACAUAAUAUAUAUUACAUAUAAUGAAUGUAUAACAUCACCCCUUUUAUUUAUUUUUACUGUGUUAUUUAAAAAUACCAGUCACAAGGCCAAUUAGCUAUUACAAAGAUAUGUCUAGUUACUUUAACACAAAUUUUAUAUAAAAUGUACUUCCUAUUACUUUUAGAUGAGAAGGAAACUCAUAUAGCCUGUGGUUCCCUCAGAACUCUCACAUGUAACUUUUAGUGAGGAAAAUGAGGAACUUUCUGAGCUAUCCACAAGGGGGUAGACUGAUUCCAUUUCUUCUGGAAGGUAUCCAUGGGGUCAUCAUUAAUGAUCAUUUAAAACUGAUAUUUCUCAUUUUAAGCAACUGUCUCCUUCCAAGAAAUAAAAUUUACUUAUGCAAGCAAGAUGCCACUUUUUUAGGCUGACAACUUACAGAUGACCCUUGGUUUAAAAAUGUAUUGCAAAAUCAUUUACACACAUUUUCCCUGCAAUCAAUCAUGGAGGAUUCUAACAAAUGCCACAUUCAGAAUCUAAGAACACUGCGGUCUUUCCACUAGAAAGUCAAGCAAAUUAUUUAAAUUCCCAGGGACCAAAAAAAAAAAAAUCUUUCCUCAACAUCAAACAAAACAUUCUCUCUUUGAAAAUGUAAAUCCCUUGAACAUAUUCAAGAAUUUUAACAAGCUUCCCAGAAAACUAUCCUAUUACUCUUUGAAGGCCUUAAGGAAUUUUCUUAAAAUAGUCACAUGCUACUCAGGGUGUGGAGAGGGCCUAAGUGACAAUGGGAGUCAAAGCUCUACAGUAGGGCCCCAGAAGUCCCCAUGUACCUCCUUUCAGAAAGGAAGAGCGGCCCCCAGAGAAUUACUAGGCACAUGGAAGGGGUAUGGGGAAAUCUUCUAAAAGGAAUAAAGCACAGGACCCGUUUCGCAUCUGUUUUGCAUCUGGGGUUAGCAGUAGGACACAGAGCUCUGAACUACAGGAAGAGCCUCAAAGAAGAUGUUAACAACAGAGAGUUUAGAGAAUGUGGAGCUCUCAUCUGUUUUAACUCCUCUAUCCAAGCCUUGGGGUGUGUGUGUAUGUGUGUGUGUGUGUGUGUGUGUGUGUGUGUGUGUGUGUGUGUAUUUGUGUAUGUGUUCAGGGGAAAUUCCAAGAGGAUGAAACUGAGGUGAAAGGCAAGUCAGAGGUAGAAAGUGGCCUGAGCUGAUAACUAAAUGCUAGUUUCACUUCAAAGAACUGGAUCUUCAUCUGACAUCAGAAAAACAGAAGAAUCAAGAAGGCACCAGCAAUUUCACUCAAAUAAGUUUUUCCUGAGGAAGUAAUUGAGUAUGUUUUCAGAGACAUAGUUUUAAGAUAUUUAUCACAGCUUGUCUAUGACAGGAAAAAUUAAAUACACAAACAAGAAAUUUAAAAAAGAAACACCCUUAAGUAUGCAACAGUGAGGGAUUAGCCAUAUAAAUGAUGCUGUAUCCACAUAAGAGAAUAGUAUGAAAUGAUUUAAAAUUACAACUAUCACCACGGAAAAAGGGUCAUCAUAUUCACUUAUAUUGUUGGGUGAAAGAUGAUUAUAAAGCAGUCUAUAUAGGUUGUAUACACUGUGAUAGAUUUACAGAUGUUUUUAGUUCUUUUUUGCUAUUUUAAAUGUUCAACCUAUUAAAAAUACAAAAUACAUGCUAACUAUAGAAAGCCACAUUUUUUUUUUUUUUUUUGAGACAGAGUCUCGAUCUGUCACCCACGCUGGAGUGCAGUGGCGCGAUCUCAGCCCACUGCAACCUCCGCCUCCUGGGUUCCACUUAUUCUCGUGCCUCAGCCUCCUGAGUAGCUAGGACUACAGGCGCCCACCACCAUGCCCAGCUAAUUGUUGUAUUUUAGUAGAGAUGGGGUUUCACCAGGUUGGCCAGGCUGGUCUCAAAACUCCUGACCUCAGGUGAUCCACCUGCCUCGGCCUCCCAAAGUGCUGGGUUUACAGGUGUGAGCCACCGUGCACGGCCAGCCACGUUCCCUUAAAAGACAGAACACAAAAUUUCUAUCAAAAUCCCAGCAAAUUAUUUUGUAGAUAUAGGCAAGAUUAUUCUAAAAUUUGGAACGGCAAAGAAACAAGAAACUGGAAUUGCUAAAAUAAAAUGGAAAGAAUCACUCUCCCUGAUUUCAAGACUUACUUUUAUAGCUACAGCAAUCAAGACUGUGGUAUUGGCCGAGAGACACACAAUGAAAUAGAAAAGGGAACCCAAAAAUGGGACUCACACAAAUAUGUCCAACUGACUUUUGAUAAAACUACAAACACAGAUCAACAGAGAGAAGAUAGUCUUUUCAAUAAAUGAUGUUGGAACAAUUGACAAUAUAUGAGCCAAAAAAACCCUUGACCCAAAUCUCACUCUUUAUAUGUAAAUUAACUAAAAAUGGCUCAUAAACCUAAGUGUAAAACGAAACACUAUAAAACUUUUAGAAAAAAAAAUAGGAGAAAAUCUUUCCUAGGGUUAGGCAGAGUCCUUCAACUUGACAUCAAAAGCACGAUCAUUAAAAGGAAAAACUGAUAAAUUGGACUUCAUCAAAAUUAAAAACUUUUGCUCCGAAAAAGACCCUGCUAGGAGGAUUAAAAAGCAAGCUAUAGAGCAGGAGAAAAUAUUUGCAAACCACAUAUCUGACAAAAGACUAGAAUUUAGACUCUGUGUGUGUGUACAUACAUAUAUAUGUAUUUUAGAGUGUUUUUUUUACUAUCACACAUACAUAUAUAUCUAUAUUAUUUUUACUAUACACACGUAUAUAUAUAUAUAUAUAUAGCCUGUGGCUAUAUAUGUAAAAAACAGUAAAAAAAAAUUCAAUUUAAAAAUGGACAAAAGACAAGAAGACCCAUUUCUCCAAAGAGGAUAUACAGAUGACCAAUACACACAUGAAAAGAUGUUCAACGUCUUUAGCCAUUGGGGAAAUGCAAAUUAAAAUCACAAAGAGAUAUCACUACACACCUGUCAGAAAGGCUAAAACUGAAAAUAGUGACACCAAAUGCUGCCGAGGAUCUAUAGAAACUGGAUCACUCAUACAUUGCUGGUGAAAAUAUAAAAUAGGACAACCACUCUGGGAAACAGUUUCUCAAAAAACCAAAUAUGCAACUACCAGAGAACCCAGCAACUGCACUUCUGGGCAUUUAUUCUAGAGAAAUGAAGAUGUUCACACCAAAAUAUGUACAUGAAUAUUUAUAGCAACUUUAUUCAUAGUAGCCAAAAACUGGACAUAACCCAGAUGUCCUUCAGUGGGUGAACGGUUAAACAGACUGUGGUACACGCACACCAUGGAGUGCUACUCAGCAAUAAAAAGGAACACACUAUUGACACAUGCAACAACCUGGAUGGAGUUCCAGAGCAUUACGCUGAGUAAGAAAAGCCAAUCCAAAGAGUUACAUACCACAGGAUUCCAUUUAUGCAACAUUCGUGAAAUGACAAAAUUACAGACAUGGAGAACAGUUUCAUGGCUGCAAAUGGUUAAGAAGGAAUGGAGGCAAGAGGGAGGUAGGUGAGGCCAAAAAGGGCAACAUGAGGGAUCCUUGUGAUUAUGGAAAUGGAAAUGUCUCCAUUUGACUGUAUGGAGGUCAAUAUUCUGAUUGUGAUAUUGUACUAUACUUUUGCAAGAUGUUACCAUUGGAAGAAACUGGGUAAAGGGUACGUAGAUUCUGUAUUACUUCUUACAACUGCAUGUGAACCUACAAUGAUCUCAAAAUUAAAAGCUUAAUUAAAAUAAAAAGGACAUAGCAUGAGACUGUCCCCAGAAAACUGGCAGACAUGGCCCUGCUGCUACACUGCUGGGGCUUCAUCAGAGGCCUCCAGUGUGCACUCAGGCACUGCUGGCCUGGUAGGGCCAGACUCUGGCUAUAGUCGUAAGUGUGGUGCACACCUGGAUCAACCCCACAACAGUUACACUGUCUCUUCACGGGGAGAUCCUCGAGUCUGUCAGUGUCCAUCAGCAACCAGCCAAUAAGUAGGCGCAGCUUGUCAGUGCUGUCUCCCCUGGCAUUAAUGGUGUGUUUAACUAAGAGCCAUUAACAAGGGUAGCUUUCUCCAAUUAAAUAACCACAGUGGAGUUUUUUUUUUUGAAAACCCUAGCGUUCCUAAGGUAAACAUAACAUGAUUUGUCACUUUGCAAGGUCCAAGAAAUGCUAUUUUGAUCUGUUAACUGCCUCUGAUGAGGACACAGCUAUCUGAGAUGUAAACAUGCCAUCAGACGGAGAGGUCUGAAAGUUUGGAGGGAGCAUGACAUUUAGAACAGUUACUGCUUGCCCUAGAGCUACAGCUAACACCUCUGACUGCUGUGUGCCAACACAGGAGCCCACGAGAGGGAAACAGUAAUGACUAUAGAGGCAAAGGAGGAAUACAGCCCAAACAGGUAACUUGAGGAAGGAGAGGGAGGCCAUUUGAGAGAUGCAGGUUAGGAAUCCUCUUACUCUAAAUGGCACUAAUGCUGAACCUAGAAUAAAAUCUGUCCCUUCAGCCUCCUUUCUGUUCCUGAAACUUGCCUAGCUGUUUCCCACCUCAGGGCCUUUGCACGUGCUGUUUCCCCUGCCUGAGUGCUCUGCCCCAGAUCUGCACUUCCUCAGAAGGGCCAUCCCUGACCACUCCACCAGCCCCCACUCCAGUCACAGUCUCUUCCACACCUCCUAGACUGUCUCCUUCACAUCACUUGUCUUCAGGAAGUAUCUUGCUUGUUGACUAGCUUAUGAUCCGUGCUAAGAUAGAUGUUUCAUAAAGAUAGAAAGCUUGUCUGUCUUAUUCCCUCAGUUAACCCCAUUAUCUGACACAGAAAGCUUCAAUAAAUACCUGUUGAAAGAAUCAGUAGCAAAAGCUGUCUCUGUUCCUGUAGCAGUCUCUGCUUCUGCCCAGGAAAGGUAUGGUCAUCACGAAGGUCCCUCUCAGGAUUUUUACUACUUGUGGAAGACUCAAAAGAGCAAAAAGCCUUUUCCUUUUAGGAAAUCCCUUUGGCAGGAGCUCUUGUGAUAAGCCUGACCAGGCAGGCCAGUAGCCAAGGCUGGGCUGGGCCCUGUUCUGUGUUCCUCACACACCCGAGUCUGUGCUGUUUCUCCACCUCUGUUCACCACACUGGGCACCAGUCACUGCCUUCUUUCCAGUUUCUGCCAUGGGCUGUCUGGUUACAUGAUGGCACCAGCCUGUUCCAAGGGCAGAGCUAUUGGCCAACUCUAAAGCCUCUCCUUCCAUUUCAAAUGCAGUCUGUUGAAAUCAUCUCCCAACGAGGAGAACAGAACCCUGGUCAUAGGUCAAGAGACCAAGGUUAUAGCCUAUCAGGGCCAAUGACUCACCCUGUGACCUUAGGCAAGGCUUUUCCUGUCUCUGGGCCCCAACUUCUGCCAGACACAGGCCUCUAAGUCCCCAUGUCAGCCAGGCACACACUGUCCUGUCCAGGGUUCCUGUGGGGUGGAGGAAGGCUGGCUUUUCUACCCAAAGAGAGACGCACUGUGGGGAAGGCACCUUGGGCUUAGCAGCCCAUCUUGCGAGCUUUAGACCAAACUCUACCCUGCAGGAAAGGCCCUCACUCGAGGAGCUGGGUGGCGCAGGGGCUCACGCCUACCUGAGGGGGCUCCAAGGAGGUAUGGGAUGAGAUGAGGCAGGCAGCCUCUGACAUUUAAGAGCCAUUAGACUUUGAACAAGCCACUUCAACAUCUUGAGCCUCAGUUUCCUCAUUUGUAACUGAGGACAAUAACAGUGGCAACUAAUGGCAUUAAACAAAAUAAUGAUGCAAAAAUAAUAUUUAGAGUGCCUGGCACAGGGAAAACGCUCAAUAAAUGGCAGCUCUUAGAAAAAUGAUCAUGAUGAUGGUGGUGAUGAUAAUGGAGAACAAAUUGAAUUCCCGUUGAGAAAAGCCAUUGAAAAGGACAGUCUCUGGUUGUGCUGCUGAAAAAGACAAAACCAUGUGUGCAAGGGAUCUGGGCUUGAGCCUCCUUAGAAAACAAAGACACUUAUUUAAAUAAGUAGAGAAGACCUCCAGUCUUGGGUCAAUAAUGUAUCUUUCCCAAGGAAGCUUUUUAAGGCCAGGUAUUUCUAGAGCUCAAUAGCAUUGAGAAAUUAUAGAAAUCACCUAGAUGUUUGUUUCUCAGCUAAUGUGGGCUCUUCCAGGAAAUGAUGUACUAGUCAGCUAGGCGGCUGAUAAGUAAAUUCCAGAAGCCCCACUUGAUGGAAUUGAGUGAGCCAUUAAAAACGAUGCCUAUGAAGACUGCAGGGCAAGGGUUAAGAUAUAAGGGAGAAACAGAAUGCAAAACUGUGUUAUGAUUACAGUUGUUUAGAAACAUGUCUGCUUACAGGCAGGCCCUGGAAGGGAAGAUUAAAAACAGUUGAUUUGCUUCAGUGAUGGGAUUAGGAGUGAUUAAAGCAACAUUUCUGUUAUGGUUUUACAGUGUGGUUUUGUGUCUUUUUUUUUUUUUUAGUGAAAAAAAAAAGAGGACUGCAGUUGUCAUACUAUGGUUUGUGCCUUUUUUAAAUAAAAAAAGAGAAAAGGGAUUGCAGGGGAAUGCAUGUACCUCAGACGUCCCUAGAGCUGUCCCC